GAGGUUGUGGUUCAGUGGCUGAGUGCUUGUCUUGCACAUGAGAGGUACUGGGUUUGAUCCCCAGCACCACA
rnacentral:tRNA from 1 species